AGUGAACGCUGGCGGUAGGCCUAACACAUGCAAGUCGAACGGCAGCACAGUAAGAGCUUGCUCUUACGGGUGGCGAGUGGCGGACGGGUGAGGAAUACAUCGGAAUCUACUUUUUCGUGGGGGGUAACGUAGGGAAACUUACGCUAAUACCGCAUACGACCUACGGGUGAAAGCAGGGGAUCUUCGGACCUUGCGCGAUUGAAUGAGCCGAUGUCGGAUUAGCUAGUUGGCGGGGUAAAGGCCCACCAAGGCGACGAUCCGUAGCUGGUCUGAGAGGAUGAUCAGCCACACUGGAACUGAGACACGGUCCAGACUCCUACGGGAGGCAGCAGUGGGGAAUAUUGGACAAUGGGCGCAAGCCUGAUCCAGCCAUACCGCGUGGGAGAAGAAGGCCUUCGGGUUGUAAAGCCCUUUUGUUGGGAAAGAAAAGCAGCAGGUUAAUACCCCGCUGUUCUGACGGUACCCAAAGAAUAAGCACCGGCUAACUUCGUG
rnacentral:rRNA from 1 species